UUUACCCGGCAAAGGAAUCGUUUGACGUUUAGCAAAGCUGCUGCCGCGCCGGCUGUAUGCAUUUUCUCCGUGUUCCGUCUCCGAUCUCGAUCUUUUGCGCGGUACGCAUACGCAUUUUAGCAAAAUGUCUAGCAAUCCCGGUUCCCCGGUGCAGUGCAGCCCGAUCGUGAAUCGGACGCUUGAGCUGAACCUAAAUAGGAAGCGUUCGAAGGAAUGCUUGCGAUGGGGCACGGUGCACAUACUGCUACUGUCCGUGGUGCUGUUUGACAUUUCCAACAAGUGUUCGUACUCGUUUUCGAACCUAUACUACGUGGAGUAUGUCGCCGCGGCCAUGCUGUCCUGCAGCAUGGUGUACUACUACACCUGCUACUUUUACUACCUGUUCAGUGCGGAGCCCAUCCGGGGCACGGAACAGCAACGGCGAAUACUCAGGUUCGAUGCAAACGAUAGCUCGUUCAUCACCACUCCGCUGCAGGCCAAGCAAUCGGCCAGCGCGGACAACACGCCAAUGAACGUGUCCACCUCACUGUUGCGGUCCUUUCACGAAUCGAGCUUUUCGAUUGCCUCGCCCCGCUGGGUGUUCAGCAGGGGCAGCCCACCGAUGGAACCGGCCCGGCCACCGAUGCUGUACGACCGCAACCUGUCCUAUGAGGCGUCACCGAACGUCAGUGGCGGUUCGAUCAAGUUUUCUCCUGCGCUGCGGAAGCUAGGCCCGCCGGGCGAUACGAUACUGGAUGACAAAUUUAUGGAAACCUAUGCACAUAAGUUCAAUCUUUCCUACAGUGAAGCAUCGAUGGACAAGAGCAACCGAUCGCAGAAGGAGCAAGCGAACAAUACCGAUGAUUCGAUGAACUCGUCCUUUGGUCGGUACCGGUUCAACGACAUGUCCCACCUGCUCAAAACCUCCCUCUACCAACUGUCGUCCUCGGUGACGCCAAGCAAACAGCUGACGAAGGAGCUCGAGACGGGCCCGUACAAUGCGUUUAUCGAUGGCAGUCCCGAGGGCUUGAAAAAAGUGUCCACCACGCAGCUGUCCACGUACGUGGGCAAUCUGCGCAUGUGGAUCUCGCUGACGAUAUUGCAGCGCAUCGAGGAGGAGAUCAAUAUUGCCGAUCAGGCAUUCAAGAGCCGCGGCUUUGCUGACAUUCAGAUCGGCAAUAUCGGGCUGGAGCGGUUGAAGAAAACGGCCGAAAAUCAGCAGCUGGUGUCGUUGUACAUCCCGCGGCUACCGUUGCUGAUACCGUUUCUGGAAAUGUCCACCAAUCAGGAGUAUCUGGUGCAGCGUAUCAAGGAUCUUGCCAAGGGUAGCUGUUUGGCCGACUAUCGGUGGAAUUCCGGUUCGGCUUACAAGGGUAUUAGCUGGGAUGAACAUCUGCCUACCGAUUCGGCCAUUAUUUUCCACCUCUUCUGCACGUAUCUGGAUAGCCAGCUGCGUCCGCUGCCACAACCGGGAGGCCGUCCCUUCUUCAACCGCUACGUCGUAGUAGGCGACAAGAAGACGACCAAGGAAACACUUGCGGAAGUGAACACCAAAAAUAAGGCCAAGUGUGCUAUUCUGUACUCAAACCCCCUGAAGCCCAAAUUUAACUUCGUUUCGGAUGACAAAAUUCACAGCUGUGCCUAUGAUCGAAAUAAUCUGUUCUACGUCAUCAUUCAAUUUUUAAUGUAUAUGAAAACCCACCACGAAUGCUCACUGGAGGGCAUUAAUCUCGGCAGAAGUGGCAUCAACAUACUGUGCUGCAUCGAAGACUAGAAGCGUGGCAGCGGACGCGCCAUUUUAUGAGUGUCGCGAAAUCGUAUUAUGAAAGGUGUUCAAAUCCGCCAUCGUCAUGGAAACGGGCGAUUGGCGUACACGAAAGUAUGCUCAUACACGGACGAAAUUGGACACACGGUACAUGAUAGGCUCGGUGGCUGUAUCAUGAUGGUAAGUCCUUACAUCUGGUAAGUCCAAUACACACAACACAGAAAUUAAAUUCAUUUGCUCGGAUGAACUGUAUUCAAUUUUGUAUAUUAAUCGCUUAUUAUCAACGGUUCGUUCGAAGAUUGUGGUGUGUUAUACAUGACACAGUAAAUAUGUAUAAGUUGUUGGUGAAUCAAUGGUGAAUCAUACUGCUUAGCGUUGAGAUUAAAAUUCCGACAAAACAUACGUUCGUUGAUGGAAAAAACACACAAAUACAGAAAUUGUCUAUCGUGCUAUCGGGCGCGAACUUUUCCCUUAUCCGAAUUGAAACAAAUGGAUGCAUUUUAGCUUAUACUAAUGAACAUACCUUUAAGGACUAGACAAAUAACACUAUGUGUAGAAGACGUGUAGAAAGUAAGCCCAACAUCCACACAAACAGCAAACAAUCGUGUACGUGUAAAAAUGUAACUAAAACAAUCCUCAAUAACAAGCUACGUUAAUAAUGAGAAUGGCGCUACAGUCAGGAUGGGUUUGAUUUUGAUUCUCUCGAUUUUUGUUGUUGAUUUGUAAUACAGGUUGAUUUGUUUUUGCACUGGGACACAGGGAUACAUAAAGGCGUAUGGUCAGCAACUAACCAAUCUCACACGUGGUGGAAUCGCAUCGCAUGAAAUUACCGUUUCGAAAAUGUACGUUACGAAGCGCGCAGUUUUAAAUGUUUCCGUUUCAGCUUGGGUUAGAUUUUAUGCACCGUUGCUCUCUUUCACUCAGUGAGUUUUGUCGUAGGUGUUUUUGUGCCCAUAUCCGGACACAUAGCCGGACUGGUCGACCAUAUCCUUUCGGCCGGCAAUACCCUUGCCCUUGCCAGUUUCGUCGAACCGUUGCUUGUGCGAACCGGUGUACUUGGACGUGUCCGUAAGGCGAGCCACAGUUUCGGCCGCUUUUCCUGGCUGUAGAGUAGCAAAGAAGUGGAUAAAUUAAAAACACUAGUAAGUUAUUUAAGUACUUGCAUCUUAUCUACGCACCGUUGCAUUAUGCACUCCGGGAGCGCCACAGUUUGCCAUUUUGCUUUUGAUUUCAUCCAGCUCGACUUUCUUCGUUUUUGCCAGAUCGUCCAGAAAUUUGUUGUAGUCUUCGUACGUCAGCUUCAUCGAUUUUAGCUUCUUGAAGUGUAUUCCCGUAUCGGUGGUCGUUAUCUUCUUAUCAAUAACCUGGAAGUGCAGUUUAUAUACCGGGUAGAUUACAUUUUUAAUGCGUUUUUUUCUCUUAAUAUGCAACAAAAGCGACUCACCUUCGCUUGCUUCAUCCACUUGUCGCUUUGCGAAAGCGUUAGAUGUUUUCCAUCCGACUUUGUAUCACCAAACUUUGAGAACGCUUUAAACUGUUCCUUAAAGGCCGCGGAACAGACGGGCUUGGCUGGUGUCGCCGAACCGUUCGUUUCCUUUUCGGACGGCUUUGCCGGUUCUGCUGCACCCGGUUGGCCGCCGGCAGCCUGUUUAGCGUCGAGUGCCAUUUCAGCCACCUCUACGGUCAUCUUGUCUACGACGUCCGUACCAUUCGGUGGUUGCGCUUCAUCGGCCAUGGUGUGGGAGCUGGCGCGGGAUGAGAUAGAAGAGAGAACACAUUUCGCUUAAUUUUAGUGUCUUCAAAGGGUAGUCUAAUGUAGGUAACAAAACACGGGUAUAUUGCACACACCGAUGAACUGCGACAUGUGUGUACAUCUUAUCGGCAAGCUGUUUGUUUAUGUUUGGCCCUCCAAAAAUACGCAACCACUGCCCGGGUAUGCGGAUGGUACACUGUGCUGUGCUGUGUGUUACCGUUCAAGUAGUUAAGCAAGUACUGUCCCGGCUCGUCGUAUCACGCAACGGGAUGGGGCCCCCGGAAAAGUUUAACGUACAAUAGAAGGCUCAGGUUUAGUUGUGCUAGGUUGUUGAUUUGUUGCGAUCCUUACAAUACUUAAUUUAGCAGAUAUUUCAAUUAAUGGUUUAUCGUUUAAAAUAGGAAAUAAAUUAUCAUUAUUAAAUAGUUGUAAUACAAUUCA